CCUACGGGGGGCAGCAGUAGGGAAUCUUCCACAAUGGACGAAAGUCUGAUGGAGCAACGCCGCGUGAGUGAAGAAGGGUUUCGGCUCGUAAAGCUCUGUUGGUAGUGAAGAAAGAUAGAGGUAGUAACUAGCAUUUAGUUGCCGGUAAUUACUUAGAAGGUCACGGCUAACUACGUGCCAGCAGCCGCGGUAAUACGUAGGUGGCAAGCGUUAGCCGGAUUUUUUGGGCGUAAAGCGAGUGCAGGCGGUUCAAUAAGUCUGAUGUGAAAGCCUUGGGCUCAACCGGAGAAGUGCAUCAGAAACUGUUGAGCUUGAGUGCAGAAGAGGAGAGUGGAACUCCAUGUGUAGCGGUGGAAUGCGUAGAUAUAUGGAAGAACACCAGUGGCGAAGGCGGCUCUCUGGUCUGCAACUGACGCUGAGGCUCGAAAGCAUGGGUAGCGAACAGGAUUAGAUACCCCAGUAGUC
rnacentral:rRNA from 1 species